rnacentral:rRNA from 1 species
UACGAGGGGGGCUAGCGUUGCUCGGAAUCACUGGGCGUAAAGGGCUCGUAGGCGGCCAACUAAGUCGGAUGUGAAAUCCCCAGGCUUAACCUGGGAACUGCAUCCGAUACUGGAUGGCUUGAAUUCGGGAGAGGGAUGCAGAAUUCCAGGUGUAGCGGUGAAAUGCGUAGAUAUCUGGAGGAAUACCGGUGGCGAAGGCGGCAUCCUGGACCGACAUUGACGCUGAUGAGCGAAAGCUAGGGGAGCAAACGGG